rnacentral:lncRNA from 1 species
CACUAUUUGACCUUAAAAACUGUCAAUCUUCUCCGAAACCAAUGAACCAUUUAGAAUCAAUUUUAGCCAGUCAUCCUUUAAUUUAUGUGAUAAACCAAGCAACAUGCAUCUAACAGAACAAAUAAAAUAGAUGAACAGCAAUCUUAUGUCUCCAGCUGCUCCUCAUAUUUUGUCUGUCCAAGCCCAAUAACUACAAUAAUUUUUAUUUUAAAUGUUCUUAUAAUUUUACAAGAACUGUGGGGUGAGCAAC